CCUACGGGUGACAGCAGUGAGGAAUAUUGGUCAAUGGGCGGGAGCCUGAACCAGCCAAGCCGCGUGAGGGAAGACGGUACAGCGUAUCGUAAACCUCUUUUGUCAGGGAACAAAGGCGGGGACUAGUCCCCGGAUGAGGGUACCUGAAGAAAAAGCAUCGGCUAACUCCGUGCCAGCAGCCGCGGUAAUACGGAGGAUGCGAGCGUUAUCCGGAUUUAUUGGGUUUAAAGGGUGCGCAGGCGGCCUGUUAAGUCAGCGGGAAAAGCCCGGGGUUCAACCCCGGAGAGCCGUUGAAAAUGGCAGCCUGGAGUUGGAGAGAAGUACGCGGAAUGCGCGGUGUAGCGGUGAAAUGCUUAGAUAUCGCGCAGAACCCCGAUUGCGAAGGCAGCGUACCGGCUCCACACUGACGCUGAGGCACGAAAGCGUGGGUAUCGAACAGGAUUAGAUACCCCUGUAGUC
rnacentral:rRNA from 1 species